AUUGAACGCUGGCGGCAGGCCUAACACAUGCAAGUCGAACGAGUGGCGGACGGGUGAGUAAUGUCUGGGGAACUGCCCGAUAGAGGGGGGUAACUACUGGAAACGGUAGCUAAUACCGCAUACCAUCAGAUGUACCCAUAUGGGAUUAGCUUGUAGGUGGGGUAACGGCUCACCUAGGCGACGAUCCCUAGCUGGUCUGAGAGGAUGAGCAGCCACACUGGAACUGAGACACGGUCCAGACUCCUACGGGAGGAAGCAGUGGGGAAUAUUGCACAAUGGGCGCAAGCCUGAUGCAGCCAUGCCGCGUGUAUGAAGAAGGCCUUCGGGUUGUAAAGUACUUUCAGUGGGGAGGCGUUACUGACAGAAGAAGCACCGGCUAACUCCGUGCCAGCAGCCGCGGUAAUUC
rnacentral:rRNA from 1 species